UAAUUGUGAUUAUGAGCCACUUUUGGAAUUUGAAGAGAACCAGUACCCCCAAGAGCUUGAAGGAAAGUGCGAACUUCAGGAAAAAUAUAACCAAGAAGGUCCAGCUUACACGGGGAACAGGGUUGGAGAUUUGUGUGACCAGCCACAUCAGGAUGUGCCUCAAACGUUACCGUUUACCAUAACAUCAGACUCUCCAGUGAACCAUGAUUGUCAUCCUGG